GCGAAUUCCAUGGGGACCCCAUUUACAUAGGGCGGGGCCUUCUGUGGCGCCACUUCCUCCUCCAGCCAGCUUUAGCCUGCUUUCCUUCUGUUGUCGCCCACUUUCCUUCAUUUUCGCUCUCUUUCCUUACGGAUAUCGGCCCCUUUUCUUCCUCUCAUAGCCCGCGUAGGUGUCCAGAUGCUCCCGAAACGGCGGCGAGUGCGGGUCGGCUGUCCCGGUGGUGCUGUCACUUCCUCCACUUCGCCCUUAGUGCUCUUUCCCGGCGUCGCCAUCUACCUGGCUGAACCGCGCAUGGGCCGUAGCCGCCGGGCCUUUCUCACACGCCUGGCGCUGUCGAAGGGCUUCCGUGUCCUCGAAGUCUACAGGUGUGCCUACCUCUGCGUGGGGCACUGCGAAGAUCUGAUGUUGGUGUGGGGCCGGCUAAGCAGGCUUUUUCGCUGGGCCCGUUCAGAGACCCAGGUGACACAUAGCAUGCUCCUGCGGGGCGGCUGCACCUGCGUUAUUGGAUUCCAAAUUAUCUGUGGCUCUUUGGUCAAGUAAUCUUUCUUGAAAGGGAUUUUUAAAAAUUUUUAGGUACUGGGUAUUGAAUCCAAGGGCCCUUUACUGCAGAGCUACAUCCCCAGCCCUUUUUAUUUUUAUUUUUUUAAAGAUAGGGUCUUGCUAAGUUGCAGAGGCUGGCCUUGAACUUUUGAUCCUCCUGUGCCAGCUUUCCCAGUCACUCAGAUUACAGGCAUAGAGCCACAAUCCCAGCAAAGUUGCUAUUAAGAUUGCUAGGAAUGUUCCACAGGAUUAUUGACAAUCAAGCCAGAGGCUUUUCAAAGAGCCAUUCAGGGGAGAGGUAAUUACAAGUAGUAUUUGCCCACGUGCCCUAGAAGCCACAUUGAGCCAUCCUGAAACCUUGAACCUGGAAUAUAACUGGCGCUCUCAUAGGGAGGCAAUCAAGACAGUGCCCAGAGAGAGUAGUUUUGAGAUGGGGAAGCUAAGUGGACUUGGGACCAGUGCUUCCCAAAGCUUUUAUUUACUAUUUUGUAUUUAAACAUCUCCAGGGAAGGAUAGUGCACCAGACCCGCUCACACAGUGCACAUGAUGCAACUUUUACAAUAGCUCUACCAGGUAGUAGUUAUUUCUGUUUUAUAGAGGAGGAUGAAGGGAGACUAGACUUGCCCAAGGGCACACAGCAAGUUCUCAGGGCUGGGGUUCAGACAAAAGUAUGCACUGUCCGGCAUCUGUGCUUAAAUCCUAGCUCUUAAAUAAAGACCAUGUGGUGCCAGACCAUAAGGCAUUCCUUUCUCUGAGGUUGAGAAGGAUACAGGCAAGUCAACACAAAGCCAGGUUGGCUUGUGAGCAUAACUGGAGCAGAAAACCUCAAUAUAAGAGCGGUGGAAAUUUUCAUACACCAGGAGGGGCUUGAGAAGGCUUUCUGGAAGAGGUGGCAUUUGAAGAAUGAAAGGCAGUCACCAUGCAGAGGGGACAGCAACAAUAAAAGCUUAAAGGUAUGGAGCCAAACAGGAAGGUCAAUGGAUUUCACAGUCCUCCUCUGCCUUUGCCCAGCUCCGAGGUGACACAUGUGGUGAUGGAACAGACCUCAGUGAAGGAGGCCAUCUGCUGGCAGAAGCACAUGGCUGCUGCUCUCCCGUGCUGUCCCCACCCAGCUCUGCUGGACAUCAGCUGGUUCACAGAAAGCAUGGCAGCUGGGCAGCCUGUCCCUGUGGAGGACCGGCAUCGCCUGGAGGUAAGACAGUUCAGGCCUAACUCAGUUGGGAUAGGUGAUGCGCAGCAGCAGUGCCCCAGUGCCCUCCAGAGGGCUCUGCUCAGAUCACCUGGGGUGCCUGAGAAUCAGCAGAGAAGCCAUGGCAAGAGCUGGGGCUGGACCAUCCCAGCUUCUGUCCUCACCACUUGAGGUUCACUUAUGUUUAGCUUCUUCAUGCCUUCCAAAGUGGGGCAGCCCCUGCAGCUGGGGCUUCACUUCUUCCUCAAUGAGUAAUUGGGAUGAUCCAUGGAUUGGUAGGAGCCUAUCCUUGGGACUCUAGAGAGCUAGACUGCUUGUACUCAAAUCCUGGCUCUACCUGUGAGCCAUGAGGGAGGAGGCAUGCUCCCUAACCUUGAAACUUUAGUGUCCCCAGCCCACUUGAUUGUGAGGAUUUGGGGAGGCAGGAAAAGUGCACUGUGAGGAUUAACAGAUUAUUGCUACUACUCUGGUCUGAAGAGCCUUGUCCUCAGUUUGUUCUGCAAUGUAGUCUGUCUGUCCCUCCAUAUAGGGCUCUGAACCACCAAGACCCAUUGCUGUGUCUCCCUCUGCCCAUGCCUGUAGUUCACUACCUCUGUCCUGUGAACUCUAGAGGGCCCAAGGUGAAUGCUCAGGAGAGUCAGGACUCUGAUUGCUGCCUGUUUCUGUCAGCCCUGAAGCCUCAUGAUCUGUGCAUUGCCCUUCUGCAGGUGGUUGAGCCCAGGAAUGAGCCCCCAAGCCUAGUGUGGGUGUCGAUUUAUGCCUGCCAGCGUCCCACACCCCUCACACACCACAAUACCAUCCUCUCGGUGAGUCAUGUCUGUGAGAAAUUUUUAGCUUUCAGGGGACAGGGACAUGGGUACAGCUGGAUGGUAGCUGGUAGAUUGAAGCAAAGUGUCCUGCCCACUCUGCCCCUUAACCAAGGGCCUCUCCCUGCAGGAGGCCUUGGAGACUCUGGCAGAGGCAGCAGGCUUCGAAGGCAGUGAGGGCCGCCUCCUUUCCUUCCGCAGAGCAGCCUCUGUGCUCAGGGCCCUUCCUUGCCCUGUCACUUCCCUGAGUCAGCUGCAGGGGUUGCCCCACUUUGGAGAACAUUCUUCCAGGGUUGUCCAGGUAGGUGUCUGCCAUGUGUAGCCAGGUGAGUAGGUGGGGUGGGGAGGCCCUGGGGCCCAGUGAAACAGCCACGAGUCCUGGUAUUUCAGACCCCAAUGUGGAGAGACAAACAUGCACAAAGAUGCUGCUCCAAGACCACCACAGCCCACCUUUAGCACAGAUCCCUUGUGAGUCACUUACCUCCCUCAGAGUGCCUGAGAGGACUCGAUAAAGGGAGCUUCUGGCAUUGGUGUCAUUGUCAUUUGUCCCAAACUGCCCAGGGUGGGGGAAGAGAGCAACCAAGUGUAAGUUUUUGAAAACCCACAUGUUAAGCUGCCCUUCUGUGCACUUUCACUGUGAGAGCACAAAGUAAACAAAAGAUGCUUUUAGAUAAACUGAUACAUGUUUUUAAAAAGAAAAUGUUUAUAGAUCCUGGAGCUAUUUUAUCUGAGAGAUGACCAGUAUUACCUGGGACCUAAGCUGUUGUAACUCUAACCUCAAGGAGCUUUGAAGCUAGAGCCCCAUCUCAUCCCCCAGUUGUGUGGCAGCAGCUUUUGUCACUGCCCUGGGCACACUGUCCAUUGCCAAGUCCCACUGUAUCCUCAUAUCACAAAGCCCCUGUCUGUAGGGUGUGGAAAGGACCCCCAGCCCCUACCCUGACUGCUGUUCUCUUUCCGGUUCCUGUGGCUCAGUGUUUUGCUUUGUCUCCUCCCCCAGGAACUGCUGGAGCAUGGAGCAUGUGAGGAGGUGGAGAGAAUUCGUUGCUCAGAGAGGUACCAAACCAUGAAGGUGCGCAGGGAACUUGACAAGGGUGCACAGCACUGUCCAAAGCACUUACAAGGGAGGCAAGCAGGGGUGGCUGAUCCAGCUCUGGGGUCAGAGAAGGUCUUACUGAGGAAAUGGCAGCUAAGCAGACACCUGAUAUGCUCUGGCCACCAAAUGAAGACAGGCAGAAGCCUGUUUUGAGCAUGGGGAGUUUUCUAGAUCACUGAGAGCACCAUCUGUUUUAUUAGACUGUUUUUGACAGACUAAUUUUAAGCAUAUUAGCACACUGAACAAACUAUAACCUAUUCUUGGGUGCUAUAGGACCCAAGUUGUGUGUAGUAGGGCUGCCACUUUACACUGUGCUUUCUGUGAUCUUGUGUGUUACUUUUUCUAUACUGUGGGCCCACCUGUCUCCAUGGUGCAUCUUCCCCCUGUGCCUGCUCACUGCUAACCUGGUAGGGAGGCACCUCCAACACUUCUGGAUACCUCAGUUUAUCUUCUCAGACAUUCCAAAAUUCUUGGGAAGAGUCUGAGUGCUUGGCCCAGUGGCAGGUGAAGUGCUUGGCCCAGGGUCCUCUGAACUGGUCCAUGUUCAGACCCUCUCCACUCCAUCCCUUUGUGUAUGGGUGAGAGCAGCACCCACCAUCCUGAUGUUCUGGAGGCUUGAGUAAACCCAGCUAGCCUAUCCAGUACAUUUGCUGAAGCCACUCUCUCAUUUAUUAACUCCAUGUUGUUUUUGCUGUUUCUUGAAGAGAACCAUAGACAUAAGUUCCAGCUGCUGUAAGUGGGAGAGGCAUGGUUUUCCCAGUGAACCAAGAGAUGUAUUAAGAUGACUCUUGGUUCUGUUGGAAGCACAGGCUGGACCUAUGUUUUAGUAGAGGGGUGAGGAAAUAGCUUACCAAGGUCUUUCCUCAGCUUUCAGCAACUGGGCAGCAAAGCCCCCAACAUACUGCCUCUCCUGGGGCUUCUGCCAUGGUGUGUGAGUUCACUCCUCUGUGUUAAUGGGCUGGGCAGGCCAGACACUGGGUUUGAGUCUUCAGCCCAUGAUCUUGGGCAUGAAGGCAACACCUCAGGUGCAUCUUCCUGUGGGUGCUUUGUUCCUGUUCCAACUGUUCCUUCCUCUACAUAGCUCUUCACCCAAAUCUUUGGGGUUGGGGUGAAGACUGCCAACCGCUGGUACCAGGAAGGGCUGCGAACCCUGGAUGACCUCCGAGGACAACCUCAGAAACUGACCAAGCAGCAGAAAGCAGGUGAGUCCCCCAGAGAGGACUGGCCUUGGGCUUCCACAAAGUCAUUUGGAUCUGGAAAGUUCUGUACACUGAAGCCCUCAUACUGGCACUGGAUGUACUGAUUGCAUGAGUGGCAGAGGUGGGUGGUGCAAAGGGGUCCUGGUAUCAGGUACGUGGACUUCUUGGAAUUUCUCUACCUGAAGUCAGAUUCUGCUGUGGCUCUUUUAGUGAGCAGUUGUGGUCACAGCAGUGCUGUGACCUCUAGGACCCAUGAGGCUCCCUCUGGUUAGGCUUGGACUUAGGUGAGGGACAGCCUGGGUCUUGACCCACCUAUCCAGGAUGUGCCUUGUGCAUAUGGGUCAGCUGAGUCCUGCCCACCAUUUUCCAGGUAUGUGACCAUGGUCCCAAGACUAAACUCUCUGAAUCUCAGUUACCUUUUCUGUGAAAUGGGAGAAAUGACAAUGUGGAAUGCCAUAAACUCCUCUGUGAUCCAGCAGGUGGCAGGUAUUAAGCAGACACUCAUUCGGCCUGUGUGUCCUGCCUGGUGCUGCCACCAUACUGUCUGGACCUAGCCUGGUUGAGGGCUUUGCUAAAGGCACCAUAACCAGCAGUAUGCCCAUUCCCCACCUCUUUGCACAUCUCCCUGGGGCUCCAGCAUAGUGCAGAUGACAGUCAGAGAAACCUACUUUUUUUAACCUGUUCUCAGGACAAAGGUAGAUAGUAUUACCAUCCAUUGUUUACUAAGGACUUGUUCUGUGCUGGAUGCUGCUGUUCUUCACAUUUAAAUCUUUCUUUAACUACAUGUGGAAGGUACGAUGAUAUCCCCUUGACAGGUGAGGAAAUAGAAGCAGGCUAAAAGAUGGGUUUCUAUUGGUAGAGUUACCUUCUUCACACUUUUUUGCCACCUUUUUGUUGCAUUUUAUUUAUGGGAAAACAGAAGGCUUAAAAGAAAUAUCUGCAGCCUGCUUGUGUCAACAUCAGUACCCUUAGAUUGAGUUCUAUGAGAUUUGUAAGGUGUUACCUUUGAGGGGAACUGGGUAAAGGGCACAGAGACCCCCCACCUCCCUCUCUCCCCCCUCCCCCUUUCCCCCUCCCCCUCCCUCCCUCCCUCCCUCCUUCCUUCCUUCCUUCCUUCCUUCCCUCCCUCUCUCUUUCCCUCAUUCCCUGUCUCCCUCCCUCCCUCCCUCUCUCUCUCUCUUUGGGGGCGGUACUGGGGAUUGAACUGAGGGGCACUUGACCACUUGACCCAUCCCCAACCCUAUUUUGUAUUUUAUUUAGAUACAGGGUCUCACUGAGUUGCUUAGUGCUUUGCUUUUGCUGAGGCUGGCUUUGAACUUGCGUUCUUCUUGCCUCAGCCUCCCGAGUGCUCAGCCCAGCUGAGCAUCUCUUUUAAUUCCCAUGAACUGCGUGUGAAUCUACUAAUUAUCUCAAAAUUAAAAUUUAAUAUUUAAAAGGGGAUAGUGUCAUGCUUCUAUUGGGAUCACUCAGCUUCUGCCAUAGCCUGUCCCUCCUCAGAGGCUUUUCCCUAUCUCACAGCCACAGGGAUGGGUGACUGCCUGAUACUAGAGGAUGGGGCUCUGUGGGGAAUGCAGGCUGAGAGAGUCAGGAGGACUGUGCUGCCCACAGGGCUCCAGCAUCACCAGGACUUAAGCACUCCAGUUGGACGGCCUGAUGCUGAGGCUCUGCUGCAACUGGUAGAGACAGUCGUGGGCCAGGUCCUGCCUGGGGCCACUGUCACGCUGACUGGUGGCUUUCGAAGGUAAGGGGGUUUGACAUACCCUUCUGGCUCACCUCCAGGACUCUCCCCAAUGCAGUUGGGGACAUUGAGGUGGCUUUCCCAUUCACUGGGAGGGGCAUGGCCCAUAGCUGGAAUGAGGGCUAUGUCCUUAUCCUUCUCAGGGGCAAGUUACAGGGCCAUGAUGUGGACUUCCUUAUCACCCACCCUGAGGAGGGCCAGGAGGCAGGGUUGCUGCCGAGAGUGAUGUGCCACCUGCAGAGCCAGGUGAGGGCUUCUGGUGCCUCUGCCCAAGAGUUGACUGCUACCUGGCCUUCUGUUCUCCUAGUACCAUGGUGGUGCCUGGCCACAUCUGCCUUUCCCCACAGGGCCUUAUCUUGUAUCAUCAGCACCAAGCCAGCUGCUUAGAGACCCCUACUCACCUUGUCCAGCGGAGCCAUACCAUGGAUGCCUUUGAGAGGAGUUUCUGCAUCUUCCGCCUGCCUCAACCCCCAGGAGCUGCCUUGGGGGGUGUCCUGAAGCCUUGCUCAGCGUGGAAAGCUGUGAGGGUAGAUCUGGUGGUUGCUCCCAUCAGCCAGUUCCCUUUUGCUCUGCUUGGCUGGACUGGCUCUCAGGUAGGUUGUGUGCUGCUGAGGCUGCCAGGGCUGAGGUGAGCCAACCAUACUGAGGGCAGUUACUCCCCCCAGCUUUUUGAGCGGGAACUGCGCCGAUUCAGCCGGAAAGAGAAGGGACUGUGUCUGAAUAGCCAUGGACUGUUUGACCCAGAGCAGGUAUGUCAAGGAUUAGGGUGGGAAACAACCCCCUAGCCUGCUUCCUGGAUCACAGCCUGAAAUGGCCCUAAAUCUCUCCAUCCUGGAACCCAUGGUGCCCAGAUCUUGGUCUUACCUCCCAGAUCCUAGCCCUCCCCAAAAGGCAUCUUGCCUUAGCACUGGGCUCUGCCUCCCCAUCUAGCCUGUCUCCAGGGGAGCCAUCCUGGCUGGGCACCCUGUGCAUUGUGCAAUGGUGCCACUGGGCAUGGCCCCCAGCUUCUGAAGCCUCUGCUUCUGUUGCAGAAGACAUUUUUCCAUGUGGUUUCCGAAGAAGACAUUUUCAGACACCUGGGCCUCAAGUACCUUCCCCCAGAGCAGAGAAAUGCCUGAUCCAGCCCAUCUGCCCUCACUCCUCUUAGGAAACGGGGGGCUGCUGGACACUUUUGAAUAUCUCCAGGCAGAAGAUACGCUGCCACGCCAUAUCCUCAUCUCCAAGUGGAAGAGUCUUUACCUGUGGGAGCGUCUGUGAGGCGCGGCCUUCCUCACACUCCAGCCUUAUAGCUGUGUGAUCAUGGUCAGCAUUCAGCCUCCCCAGGCCUCAGGUUCCCACCUGGGUCAGGAAAUCUGAGCAGUACUCAAGUCAUGGAGCUGUGGCAGAGCCUGCAGUCCCAGUGCGGCAAUUGAGGUGUGGUUGAAUGUCUUCUAUAGGGCACCCCACUCAGUUGCCCAGAAGAGAACCGUGUAUCCCUGCCCUGCACUUGAGCCAUGAGGUGGAAGCUGUAGUUCUUGCUCUUAGGAGUCCUCUGUGGAGGUUAAAAUGGGUAUGCUGCAAUCACCUGGAAUGAGUGAAGGUCCAAGUCACGAGAACUUCCAAUGCUGGGAUUUUGGCACUGCAGCCCCUACCCUGCUUCUGCCUUUAAGUCCUAUACUCUCCCUACUUCAAAACAGGUCACACCCUGCCACUUCUUGCUCAUAGUCCUGCGGCAUUCCAAAUCCCCAAAUCCUCAUGUGAUCCCCUAGGGUUCUAGCAUUUCUGCCACCCCUGCCAAUCUCAUCUGCACUCUUCUUUCAAUACCCCCCGCCCCACCCCUCAUUUGCUUCCUGUUUCACUGUUUCCUACUGAUGUGCUCAGACCCCAUGUCUCUGACUCCCUCCCCUUUCUAAGGCAGAAACACUGAAAUGAGCUGGACACACAGGUGUCCUGUGUGUUCCCUGAUCUCCUUCAGGGCCUUUGCCUUUGCCACUCUUCGCCUCCUUCAGGACUUGACUCAAGGUCAUCUUGUCAGUCACAGCUUCCCAGACUACUCACCACAUCACAAAGUGUUUUUUAAAUUAACAUGCAAUAAAAUGCUAUCUUUUAAGGUUUGUUUUUAAUGAGCUUUAACACAGGUAUAGACUCUGCCAUCUCAGGACCCAAAGGUCUGUCCCCCAAGCAUUGCCUUAUGCCAUUGCAUUAUUGCCACAUGUUCUUUAUCCCAACUCACUCAUUUUGUUCACUUAUCUACAAUUUUGCCCUCUCCAGAAUCUCAUAGAAGUGGAACCAAAUUCUCCCUUUUACUUGCCUCUCUCUCAUCAUGCCUUUGAGAUUCACUCAGGUUUUUGCAUAUAUUGAUAGUUUAUUUUUAUUUAUUGCCACAUAAUAUUACAUUCAUGGGGUGUUCCAGGAUUUAUCUGUUCAGCUACUGAAGAAUGUUUAGAUUGUUUCCAGGGUUUGGUGAUUAUGAAUAGAGCUACUGUAGCCAUGUGUAUAUAGAUUAGUGGGUAACAUACCUUUUCAGUUCUCUUGGGUAAAUAUGAAGGUAUAGGAAUAUUGGGUUAUAUGAAAAGUAUGUUUUUAAGAAAGAGCUAAAUUGUUCAGAAUGCCUGUCAUUUUCCAUUUUAUCAGCAGUGUGAGCCACCCAUAUAAGUUAAACAUUUCAUAGUAGCAGUUACUGUGUAUCUGUCAGCAAUUGAUAAUUUUGGUUUUUAUUUUAGCUGUUCUAUGAUAGGUCUGUAGCACUAAUUAACUGCCUUCCUUUUUUUUUUUCCCCUUUCCCUUCCUUUCUGGGGAUUGAAACCACGGGCUUGUGAAAUAGUAAGCUCACACUCUGCCAUUGAGCUAUAAUCCCAGCCCAUUUAUUAUGGUGGGUUUUUUUUGGUGUGUGUGUGUGUGUGUUUGUGUUUGUGUGUGUGUGUGUGGCAGGACUAGGGUUUGAUACCAGGGCCUUGCAAAUGUUAGGCAAGCACUCUACUCUGGGCCACAUCCCCAUCAAUACUUUUAUUUAUUUUUAUGUGAUGCUGAGGAUUGAACCCAGUACCUCACACAUGCUAGGUAAGCACUCUAACACUGAGCUACAACCCCAGCUCCCCAUCCUUUUUUAUUUUGGGAUAAGGUCUCUAAGUUGCCCAGACUGCUUUGAAGUUUCAAUCCUCUUACCUCUGUCUCCUGAGUAUCUGGGAUGAAGGCAUGACCACCGUGCUCAGCUGUUAUUUUUUUGUUUUUGUUUUAGGAGCAGUCUUUUAUUUAUUUAUGUUUGCAGUCUUUUGUUUUUAUACACUUUGACAAAGAGGUUUUCAGGAGGCAAUCUUUUCAGUGGAAAAUAGAGAACAUGAAAAUUUGCCUCCAGCUAUCAGUAGCUGCUCUGUUCAGAGUCUGUCAUCCCACUUGCUCAAGGAAUGAAGUGGAGGGGUGUAUUUCCCUUCCUUUCCUAGCUGAUUUCAGUACUUUAUCCUCCCAACACCUGUACUAGGGUUUGAACCCCAAGGGGUGCUUAACCACCGAGCCACAUCCCUAGUCCUUUUUUAUUUUUUAUUUAGACAGGGUCUUACUGAGAUGCUUAGGGCCUUGCUAAAUUGUUGAGUCUGGCUUUGAACUCAUGAUCCUCCUGUAACUGGGGUUACAGGUCUGCCCUCGAAUCCUACUGCUUCUUGAUGGUAUUCAUGUGUUUUGUCAUUUUCUGCCUAAGCAUAUAUUCUGUGAAAUCAAAUCUGUUUUGUACUCUAUGCCUAGAUGUUAUUGGUUUUAUGUGCACAUGCUCUCCAUUCUUUUUCAAAAGCAUGGCAUUGAAUAGGAACUUUGGAUUGUCAUCUAAUGGUCUAUAUUAAGGCCCAGCCUUUUCUGCACAUCAGAAAAAGGCAUGGCACUUGGUUCACACCUGUAAUCCCAGGAACUCGGGAGAUGAGGCAGAAGGAUUGCAAGUUUGAGGUCUCAGAUUUUUUAAAAUGACAGGGAUGUAACUCAGAGGUAGCACUCCCCUGGGUUUAGUUCCCCCGCAAAAAAAGGGGGAAAAAAUGGCAUGACAUCCUGCCAUACAGCCCUUAUCUUCUUGCUGCCACUGCUUUCAGUGGAAGUUUAGAUUGUUAAUUUGAGAUCUUUCUUUUUUCCUAAUAUAAGCACGUAAUGCUUUAAAUUUCCCUCUGAGCAUUACUUUAGCUUCAUCCUACAAAUUUGAUGUAUUGUGGUUUUUUUGGUGGGGGAGAUGGGUACUGGAUAUUGAACCCAGAGGCGCUUAACCACUGAACCACAUCUCCAGCCCUUUCUAUUUUUCAUUUUGUGACAUGGUCUCAGUAAGUUGCUUAGGACCUCACUAAAUUGCUGAGGCUGGCUUUGGACUUGUGAUUCUCCUGCCUCCACCACUCAAAUUGCUGGGAUUAAAGCUGUGUGUCACUGUGCCCACGGAGUAUAUUUUUAUUUUUUAUUCAAUUGGAAAUGUUUCCUUUUUUGGUGGGGGGAGGAGGGUACCAGGGAUAUUGGACCACAUACUGAGCCCCAUCCCCAGCCUUUGUUUGCAUUUCAUUUAGAGAUUGUCUCGCUGAGUUGCUUAGUGCCUUGCUUUUGCUGAGGCUGGAUUUGAACUUUCGAUCCUCUGCCUCAGCCUCCUGAACCACUGGGAUUACAGUGUGAGCCACCAUGCCCAGCAAAAAUGUUUUCUAGGGCUGGGGAUGUGGCUCAAGCGGUAGCACGCUCGUCUGGCAUGCGUGCGGCCUGGGUUCGAUCCUCAGCACCACAUACAAACAAAGAUGUUGUGUCCGCCAAUAACUAAAAAAUAAAUAUUAAAAAAACUCAAAAAAAAGUGUGGGAUAAUAUUAAAACAAAUACACUUUGAAAAAAAAAUGUUUUCUAAUUCUUCUUGAGACUUUUUCCUUGAUCCAUGGAAUAUUUAGAAGAGUGUGUUCUGUUUCCAAGUGUUGGAAGGUUUUUCCCAUUUAUAUAUAUAUAUAUAUAUAUAUAUAUAUAUAUAUAUAUACACACACACAUAUAUGUAUAUGUGUGUAUAUGUGUGUAUAUGUGUAUAUAUGUAUGUGUAUAUGUGUAUAUAUGUAUGUGUAUAUGUGUACAUAUGUAUGUGUAUAUAUGUACAUAUGUGUGUAUGUGUAUAUAUGUAUACAUAUGUGUAUGUGUAUAUAUGUAUACAUAUGUGUGUAUGUGUAUAUAUGUACAUAUGUGUGUAUGUGUAUAUAUGUACAUAUGUGUGUAUGUGUAUAUAUGUAUGUAUAUAUAUGUGUGUAUAUGUAUAUAUAUGUGCGUGUGUAUAUGUAUAUAUGUAUGUAUGUGUAUAUACGUGUAUAUAUGUAUGUAUGUAUAUAUGUAUGUGUGUAUAUGUGUAUAUAUAUGUAUAUGUGUAUAUAUGUAUAGGUGUAUAUAUAUGUAUAGGUGUGUAUGUGUGUAUGUGUGUGUAUAUGUGUGUAUAUGUGUGUGUAUGUGUUAAUUGACACUAUUGUUCACAUCUAUAUCCUUAUUUAUUUUCUGUCUAGUGAAUUACUAAGAGGAGACUUGAUGUCUUUUUUUCUUUUUUUGGUAUUGGGAAUUGAACCCAGGGGCACUUUACCACUGAGCUACAUCCCCAGAAUUUUUUAUUUUUUAUUUUUGAGAGAAGGUCUUGCAAAGCUGGCCUUGAAUUUGUGAUUCUCCUGCUUCAGCCUCCUGAGUCACGUGGGAUUAUGGUGGGGUUAUGGAAGUGACCAUACCCAAUCUGAAGUCUUAAACUAUAAUUGUAGAUUCCUUCAUUUCUCCUUUCAGUUAUUUCAUAUUGUGAUUCAUGUACUUGGAAGCUCUGUUGUAGGAAUUUUUAUAUCUUCUUAGUAUCAUUGUUAUAUAAUGUCCUUUUAUUCCUAAUAUAUUUUCUUGUUCUGAAAUCUACUUUGUUUUUUUUUUUUUUUUUUUUUUUUUUAAAGUGUAACUUCCCCCAUGCGAUUAUUACAUUUCUCUUUUUUAUUUUUUUUUUAAUGAGAGAGGGAGGGGGGGAGAGAGAGAGAGAGAAUUUUUAAUAUUUAUUUUUUAGUUUUCGGCGGACACAACAUCUUUGUUUGUAUGUGGUGCUGAGAAUCGAACCCGGGCCUCACGCAUGCCAGGAGAGCGCGCUACCGCUUGAGCCACAUCCCCAGCCCCCUGAAAUCUACUUUGAUAGAAAUAUAUCUGUUCCAGCUUUUGAUUAGUGUUUGAGUGAUAUAUCCUUUUCCUUCUAACCUACAUAAUUUUUGCCUUUUUUGGGGGGUGGGUAGGUACCAGGGAUUGAACUCAGAAGCACUGAACCACUGAGCCACAUCCCCAGUCCUAUUUUCUAUUUUAUUUAGGGACAAGGUCUCACUGAGUUGCUUAGUACCUCGCUGUUGCUGAGGCUGGCUUUGAACUCUCGAUCCUCCUGUCUCAGCCUCCCUAGCCCCUGGGAUUACAGACAUGUGCCACUGCACCUGGAAAUAUAUUUUUGCCUUUUAUUAUUUGUUUUGGGGGUGAAAUUGGACUCUGGGUCUUAUGCAUAUUAAACAUGUGCUCUACCACUUGGCUCUCAGCCUACCUUUUACUGUUUUUUGUUUGUUUGUUUGAUUUUUGUUGUGCUGGGGAUGGAAUCUGGGAACUUGUGCAUGCUAGGAAGGUACUCUAUCACUGAACUAUCCCACCACAAUCACCUAUCUGUCUUUUUCAUGAUAACNACACUCUGCCAUUGAGCUAUAAUCCCAGCCCAUUUAUUAUGGUGGGUUUUUUUUGGUGUGUGUGUGUGUGGCAGGACUAGGGUUUGAUACCAGGGCCUUGCAAAUGUUAGGCAAGCACUCUACUCUGGGC
rnacentral:lncRNA from 1 species